rnacentral:rRNA from 1 species
UCUUGGUCAUUUAGAGGAAGUAAAAGUCGUAACAAGGCUUCCGUAGGUGAACCUGCGGAAGGAUCAUUAAAGAAAUUUAAUAAUUUUGAAAAUGGAUUUUUUUGUUUUGGCAAGAGCAUGAGAGCUUUUACUGGGCAAGAAGACAAGAGAUGGAGAGUCCAGCCGGGCCUGCGCUUAAGUGCGCGGUCUUGCUAGGCUUGUAAGUUUCUUUCUUGCUAUUCCAAACGGUGAGAGAUUUCUGUGCUUUUGUUAUAGGACAAUUAAAACCGUUUCAAUACAACACACUGUGGAGUUUUCAUAUCUUUGCAACUUUUUCUUUGGGCAUUCGAGCAAUCGGGGCCCAGAGGUAACAAACACAAACAAUUUUAUCUAUUCAUUAAAUUUUUGUCAAAAACAAGAAUUUUCGUAACUGGAAAUUUUAAAAUAUUAAAAACUUUCAACAACGGAUCUCUUGGUUCUCGCAUCGAUGAAGAACGCAGCGAAAUGCGAUACGUAAUGUGAAUUGCAGAAUUCCGUGAAUCAUCGAAUCUUUGAACGCACAUUGCGCCCCUUGGUAUUCCAGGGGGCAUGCCUGUUUGAGCGUCAUUUCCUUCUCAAACAUUCUGUUUGGUAGUGAGGUGAUACUCUUUGGAGUUAACUUGAAAUUGCUGGCCUUUUCAUUGGAUGUUUUUUUUCCAAAGAGAGGUUUCUCUGCGUGCUUGAGGUAUAAUGCAAGUACGGUCGUUUUAGGUUUUACCAACUGCGGCUAAUCUUUUUUUAUACUGAGCGUAUUGGAACGUUAUCGAUAAGAAGAGAGCGUCUAGGCGAACAAUGUUCUUAAAGUUUGACCUCAAAUCAGGUAGGAGUACCCGCUGAACUUAAGCAUAUCAAUAAGCGGAG